UGGGGAAGUGGGGAACCGAGGGGCAACCAGGGGAAGAUGGGGUGCUGGAGGAGAGCUUGUGGGAGCCAAGGAGCACCUUGGACAUCUGGAGUCUGGCAGGAAGUUAGCAAAGGUGACAUCUUCUCGGGGGGAGCCGAGACUGCGCAAGGCUGGGGGGCUGUGGGCCCGUUCCAGGCAGAAAGAGCAAGAGGGCAGGGAGGGAGCACAGGGGUGGCCAGCGUAGGGUCCAGCACGUGGGGUGGUACCCCAGGCCUGGGUCAGACAGGGACAAGGCAGGGGACACAGGACAGAGGGGUCCCCAGCUGCCACCUCACCCACCGCAAUUCAUUUAGUAGCAGGCACAGGGGCAGCUCCGGCACGGCUUUCUCAGGCCUGUGCCGGAGCCUCGAGGGCUGGAGAGCGGGAAGACAGGCAGUGCUCGGGGAGUUGCAGCAGGACGUCACCAGGAGGGCGAAGCGGCCACGGGAGGGGGGCCCCGGGACAUUGCGCAGCAAGGAGGCUGCAGGGGCUCGGCCUGCGGGCGCCGGUCCCACGAGGCACUGCGGCCCAGGGUCUGGUGCGGAGAGGGCCCACAGUGGACUUGGUGACGCUGUAUGCCCUCACCGCUCAGCCCCUGGGGCUGGCUUGGCAGACAGUACAGCAUCCAGGGGAGUCAAGGGCAUGGGGCGAGACCAGACUAGGCGAGGCGGGCGGGGCGGAGUGAAUGAGCUCUCAGGAGGGAGGCUCGUGCAGGCAGGGGUGAGGAGCGCAGCCGGCGGCGAGCGGGAGGCACUGGCCUCCAGAGCCCGUGGCCAAGGCGGGCCUCGCGGGCGGCGACGGAGCCGGGAUCGGUGCCUCAGCGUUCGGGCUGGAGACGAGGCCAGGUCUCCAGCUGGGGUGGACGUGCCCACCAGCCGCCGAAGGCCAGGACGCCAGGUCCGGUGGACGUGACAAGCAGGACGUGACAUGGUCCGGUGUGACGGCGAGGACAGAGGAGGCGCGUCCGGCCUUCCUGAACACCUUAGGCUGGUGGGGCUGCGGCAAGAAGCGGGUCUGUUUCUUUACUUCCUCCACGGAGUCGGCACACUAUGGCUGCCCUCUGGGCUCCCAGAACCCACAACAUGAAAGGUGAGGGGCUUCCUGCCACACUUGGGGUGGGGGGCACGCGAGAGGAGCUGAGUGGGACCUCACUCCUUCCCCAUCCACAGAAAUGGUGCUACCCAGCUCAAGCCUGGGCCUUUGAAUCCGGACACAAAACCCUCUAGCUUGGAAAUGAAUAUGCUGCACUUUACAACCACUGCACUACCCGACUCAGGAAUCGGCUCUGGAAGGUGAAGCUAGAGGAACCAGACCUCAUCAGCCCAACAUCAAAGACACCAUCGGAACAGCAGCGCCCGCAGCACCCACCCCGCACCGGCGACUCCAUCUUCAUGGCCACCCCCUGCGGCGGACGGUUGACCACCAGCCACCACAUCAUCCCAGAGCUGAGCUCCUCCAGCGGGAUGACGCCGUCCCCACCACCUCCCUCUUCUUCUUUUUCAUCCUUCUGUCUCUUUGUUUCUGAGCUUUCCUGUCUUUCCUUUUUUCUGAGAGAUUCAAAGCCUCCACGACUCUGUUUCCCCCGUCCCUUCUGAAUUUAAUUUGCACUAAGUCAUUUGCACUGGUUGGAGUUGUGGAGACGGCCUUGAGUCUUGGUGCGAGUGUGUGUGAGUGUGAGCCACCUUGGCAAGUGCCCGCCCAGGGCCCGGCCGCCCUCCAUCUGGGCCGGGUGACUGGGCGCCGGCUGUGUGCCCGAGGCCUCACCCUGCCCUCGCCUAGUCUGGAAGCUCCGACCGACAUCACGGAGCAGCCUUCAAGCAUUCCAUUACACCCAUCUCGCUCUGUGCCC
rnacentral:lncRNA from 1 species